AAAAGAAACUAACAAGGAUUCCCCUAGUAGCGGCGAGCGAAGCGGGAAGAGCUCAAAUUUGUAAUCUGGCACCUUCGGUGUCCGAGUUGUAAUCUCUAGAAGUGUUUUCCGCGUUGGACCGCACACAAGUCUGUUGGAAUACAGCGGCACAGUGGUGAUACCCCCGUAUACGGUGCGGACGCCCAGCGCUUUGUGAUACACUUUCGACGAGUCGAGUUGUUUGGGAAUGCAGCUCAAAUUGGGUGGUAAAUUCCAUCUAAAGCUAAAUAUUGGCGAGAGACCGAUAGCGAACAAGUACCGUGAGGGAAAGAUGAAAAGCACUUUGGAAAGAGAGUUAAAAGUACGUGAAAUUGUUGGAAGGGAAACGAUUGAAGUCAGACUUGCUUGCCGGGCUUGCUCGGUUUGCAGGCCAGCAUCAGUUUUCCGGGGCGGAUAAUGGCAGUUAGAAGGUAGCAGUCUCGGCUGUGUUAUAGCUUUCUGCUGGAUACGUCCUGGGGGACUGAGGAACGCAGCGUGCCGUAUGGCGAGGGCUUCGGCCCUUU
rnacentral:rRNA from 1 species